GUUUUUUUUUUUUUGAGGUUGCAGUGGAGUGACACGGGGGUGCUCCUUGGGCUUCAUUUCUGCCUAGCAGGCUCUAAUCCAGCAACAUUCAUGAAGAGGAAUAGUCGGCCUGGCACAGUAAACUCUACUCUUUGUUCUCCUUCCAAUAGCACUAGUGUCAAAAACACUCUUAUAUUAUGAGACGGAGGGAGUACCUCUUAAGGGCAACUCCAACGGGUUCACGGAACGGAUAGCAUCAAGUCCAUAAACACGUCCAAAUGUGUUCGUGCACAGCGGUACGAGAGCCGACCAUCCGACCAUAUCCAUCAAAUGUUCGCUCUUUGUCCAAUAAAAAGAUGGGAGAGAAUGAAGGAGGAGCGAAGGUAGGUUUCUGGUGGGUUUGAGGCUGAGUCGACGUAUCUGUGGCAUUCUGUACUCCCCAAACCUCCCACAAGUUUAUGUGCCGUUUGUGGGAUUUUGGACAUCCGAACGGAUUUGGUACACGGCGUUGGAUGGUGAAAAGUGUGUGGUCCACGCGGUCCAAACAUUUGGGGUUGUUUCAAAGAACCGUGUUGAAGUUGCCCUGACGUCCCUAGUAAAAAAACUAUUAACCUUUUUUUUAGUGAAUUCCAAUUUUUACCAUUUAUUUAGGGUCAAUUUUGCACAGAAAAUAUAUAUCGCUUACUGUGAUACAUAUGAUAGCCUCGCCUAUAGGAGAGCCUCCUGAAACACUGAAGUGAGUUGGCCCAAGAAGCGGUUUUGGAAAGCCUCUAAGGACAUGUUCAUCGAACCUUCUGCCUGGUUUUGGGACGAUUCAAGGCGGGUUUUUUUAGUGUUUGUCUCUACCAGAUUUCAUAGGUUUUUCAUUUGCUUUUAUUUUUUCUAUUUUCUAUUUUUCAUUUUUCCAAGAAUAUAUGUCAACAUUUUUUCAGUUCACGUUGAACAUUUUUUGUAUACAGCUCCCAGAUUUCUUACAUACACAUUCAACAUUAUUAAAAUACCCGGCGAACAUUUUUAAGCACACUUUGAACAUUUUUCAAAAAUUACAUGAUUUGUUUAGACAUGCAAACAUUUGUGAAUGUUAGAACAGUUUUUAUGAGUUACGAGCAUUUUUUGAAAAUUGCAUGACCAACUUUUAGUUCUCCUAAACAUUUUCUAAAAUGUCACGGAACAUAUUGUUAAAAUUCAUGAACAUUUUUCCUACCAUGAACAGUGUUCUGAAUGGUAUGAACAUUUUUACAAAUUACGGAAAAAAGAAUUCCAUGAUCAUUUUUAAAAACACCAAGAACAAAAUUUAAAUGUGGAAGCAUUUUUUAAAUACCAAGAUCGUUUUUUAGAAAUUGCAAAAAAAUAGUUUUACAUUAUUUUAAUGUGCAGUGAACUUUAAAAAAAAUAAGAACAUGCUGAUUAAAAAAUAGAAUAUUUCCAAAUAAGAAAAAAUACAUAAAAAUACGGAACAGAACGAAGGAACGAAAGAGCGCACUACUGGGCCAUUGCACUAGCGGGUCAGCUGAGGCGAGGAUAUCACAAUUUUUGGGUCCAAAUAUAACAAAAGUAGCCCCAUUUUGUUUUAUGCGCAUAUCCUUUUUAUAUAGACGACAUAUGAAAAUAUAUAUUGAUGCAAAUUCAUACGCACAAACAACACAUGUACUUGUAUAUUUUUUUCAGAUUUUUUUGGUGGCAUAAAAAGUAAUUCGGAGCCCGUCUUCCAAAUCAUGUUUCCGCACUUUUAGCUCAUUUAACAAAAAAAAAUCCUCUUUGUUCAAAUUUUACCUAUUUUCAAGUUCUGUACUGUUCUAUCGGGGGUUCCCAUACUAGCCCUAAGUGGCAAAAUCAAUGAGCCUCUCUAGUUCAGUGCAUCUAUUGUGAGGCAGUCUGAUGCGGCACAUGGGGUCGAGCAACCUGGUUCAGCGCGACUUGGCCCGAGUCACUCGCCAUAUUCUUCAUUUUGCUACGUGUAAGUAUAGGGAUAUAUCAUGGGUAACACCAGGGCGGGCCGAAGGCCACUACGCGCGGGUGAUCGCCAAUGGUCGCCAGAGGAAGAACACACACGUGGUAAGAUAGUACCUUCUCACCCCUCCUGCUAGCAAGUGUCAUGUAGGCUUCUAGUUAGGGUUGCUCCAGCACCACCACCGCCUCUUCAUCGGAGGACAAAUCACCGUUGCUUCCACUUUCGCUUCGAAAUACCUAGCUCGGAUAUGGGGAGGAGGUCUUACUCGGGUGUGGCAGUCAGGCUUAACAAGAUCGCCGCACCCAUCUACUGGGUGAGAUGCAUCUUGAGGAAUGUGUCACACAUGUGGCAUCUGACUCACCGCUCCACAUGAGACUAGCAGCUACUCCUACAGUAGGCCUCCACAUUUAUCUCAUUUGGCAAAACUUUAUAAAAGGAAAAAUACUGAAACAAAUUUGCUUGCGGUUGCAGAGUAAUUUCUGAUAAAUGAGAUAAAUGUGCUGCAGAGUCAAUCUUCCAUGGUAAGAGGUGAUAUGCACUCAAUCUUUUUGAAUAAAGUAGUUUUAUAGAACGCUCCAAUUAGUAGAACGUUACAAGCCACGUAGUUGGAACUACACAACUAAUUAACACUCUCCUUUUCUUAGGAACGAACAAUCAGGCGAUUAGUUAGAACCAAGAUUUUUUUUUGAAACGAGGCAAAUGACUUGUCAAUUUCAUUGAUUAAGAAGGAGUGAGAAUUGCCUGGUUAAUUGACGGAAAACCGGGCUAAAACCGAUACAAUCCAACCAACAUAACAUGUGUACCACCGGUGAACCUGGCCACCGACAUGGGAUCACUGAGCUACAAACAGCUGCACGGAAACCAUGACGGCACAUGCCAACAGAAGGCCAUACACGUGAACACCCGACAGCUCCACUUUGACGAUGAUCAUCACAAGGGAAAUAUGCAGGAUUGCGCCGACCGUGCCCUCCGUAACCGAGCACCGUUACACAUAAUUGUGCCUAGCACUCUUUUGUCUGUUCCGGUUGCUAUUAUACCAACACAAACUGGAACUCCAAUAUUUACAUGCUGCAUCAGACCAUUUGGAGCAGUAUACAUACCCUAAUCUGAACUCUAAUCCAUACAUGCCAUGUCCCAUUAGGUAGCUGCUGGAACAAUCUUAGUUGAAGUUGCGUAAAAUCUGACUUUUUUUUUCCUGAUCAUUGUUAGCCUUUUUAUCCAAAAUAUUGACAGUCUGAGGGUGAACAUAUCUUCUCAGGUAUAGAUUACCAGAUGUCCUAUAAUGAUUCAUAUGAACUAAAAAGAGGAAAGCACAUGACAAAAAGUUAUGCGUUUUUCAUCGCUGUAAAGAACAUAUGUGCUGAUUGGGCCUAUCAUUUGCAAGCAUAAUAGAUUAAGUUUAAGCUUCUUCUGAUGGAGUACUUUCCAUGUCAAUGCCUUGUUUCAAUGUGUAGCUCCUCUGUCAAUGCACUAAAAGCGAAAAAAACACUUCAUAGAAUAUGUAUUACUUUAAUUUCUGGAAAGAACUUUGAUCAACUUAGUUGACAUUCUCUUUAGUUCUUAAAGCACCAACAGCAAAUUGCACUUUAUGGUUGCCUUCCAACGGUAGUGGUACGGCUUAUAAUCAUACUCGCAAAGUAAACUGUGUAGACAUAAUAUGCAGAAAUAGACAUAGACAUCUUUAAGAGCUAACAGAUCAUCAAUGGUGUUUACACAAAUUAAAUACAACCGGGUCACUCAUAUUAAUUAGGUAAGCUAGUUGGUAGAUUGUACUCCCUCCGACCAGAAAUGUAUGAUGUGCAAGGGCUUACGGUUCAACUUUGGCCAACAAUUAAUCUAAUAAAAUUUGAUAUAUAUUGUGUAAGAAUUGUAUCACUUAAUUCAUGUGCAAACGCAUUUUUCAAAUAGUGACAUGUUUGGACAAUUCACAUAUUAAUUGCUUAACUGUUCUUCAAAGUUAAAUUUCAUACUGCAUGCGCAUCUUAAAUUUUGGAGCGCAGAAAUUACUUGCAUACGUCGAGGGGGAAAUCUAGCAGCAAUUGUCCCUCCAGUACUAUAUGCUGGCAUCAGGACUACAGUUUCUUCAUUUUGAGGAGGAUCACACAUGAAUACUUUACGAACUGAAGACACAGGACAUGCAUGCAUGAUGCAUGCUAUAUUUUGAGGAACAUUUGGGUACCGUUCCAUUUAAUGGCAUAAACCGUAAGCAAAAUCUGAACGAGAACAUCAGCGCAAAUUCUAUAAAGAACUAGUCAUCUUGCCCCAAAUUACAGAACUUUAUCUAGGUUAAUUAAUUCAUGCUUAUUUAUAAUGAUCACAACAUUUUUGCACUACAAAUGAGUCCCAACUCCCAACCUCUUCCUUACUUAUGUCAUUCCUGUUCCGUUCUGCCCCAACAUUCUAAGUCCUGUACGUUAUUCAAGUAUAUAGAAAAAAAAAUGCCACAACCUCACAGUUACGUUCUUAAUCACCCCCACCCACUUUGAAGGGACAAGAAAUAUAUAUAAACAAGAACAAUACGAUCUUAGUGCACAUCAAAUAGUCUCCAAGAAAACUCGAAUUAUACUGGAAAAAGACAUACAUUUGACAAUAUUUUUGGAGGAUCACAGUCUAAGCAUAAUUUCGUCGAAGGAUUAAGCAGAUCAAGAUUAAGGAUUGCAUACUGCAGCAUCAUCGCAUGUAAAAGCUAGCUAUACUACUAGAUUAUACCAACACGUACUACUUCAAUAUCAGAUCCAUAGGAAUCUUUAGAAAGGCGGUAUAAGAGUAGAUAGGUUCCGUAAAAGAGUUGGAGGAGCUAGCUAGUCCAUGAAAACAGUUGUAUAACUGGAUUUUCCACAUGUGCGGCCAUUGAAUCAGCUUGUCUAUCACUAUAUCAGCUGUCCAUCACUGCCUUCUAGCUUGUUCUCUUGAUCAUCUCUUGGCAAUACAUACAUAUUUAUGGCAUGACAAGUCGAAUCAUAUACAGAAUACUACUGCAGUACACAACUAUACAGAACAGAACUCAGACAAGAUAACUUAUUUCCAACCAGAAAUAUAUAGCAUAUUGAUCAUACCAAGAAGCAUUUUUGCUGUCUAGUCAACUAGGUUUCUGCGGUGAUCAUGUAUAGAUCCAGCAGUGAACUCUCACAACCCCUCUACUAGGAUUAUUACUAGCUGGCUGGCUAGGACUAGAACCUGAGCAUGAUUGAUCGAUUGAUCGACGUAGACUUUAAAAAUUGCACAUAUAUUGCCCAACUCAAACUCUCAAGCCCAAAACAUGAUCAGGAUUCAGGAAAUCAUCGAUCGAGGAGUAUAUCUUGUGGUGAUAUAUUAAUUCUGCGCUAGCUAGUUGUAGUGGUUCUUACGAGCGAUUUAGGUACGCAUACGCCACGCUCUGCAGGUCCUCGCAGUCUUGGUACCCCGACGACGACCUCCACCCGCUCUCCUCCGUCCCGAACGACGACUGCUCCGCCACCUCGAAGGCCGCCACCGCGGCAUGCCCGUCGUCGUCCGACGCCGACUGCUCCAGCGCGUGGUACAUCAUGUAGUCCGACGCCGCCGAACCGGCCAGCAGCGCGCUGAUGGAGUCGUGCCCGGCCGUGGCGCCACCGUUGCCGCCGUACGCGCACUGCUGCUGCGCGGCCGCCGCGCCCACGCCGUUGCCGUUGUGCCAUUGGUAGCCGCCGUGCGCGUACUGAUCCGCCGCGCCGCCUCCCACGUAGCCUUUGACGUCGUCCUGGUGCUGCAUCCCUUGCGGCGCCGGCGGGGCGUGCGCCUUGAGCGAGGCGAGCUGCGCCUGCAGGGUCAUGACCUGCUGCUGGAGCGCGAAGAUGUGUGCGACGCAGCCGUAGACGGGGUCGCGCAGGCGGGCCUGCGCCUCGUAGGAGACGGUGACGGCGGCCUCGGCGCGGUCGGAGAUGGGCAGGUGCGCCAGGAGCUUGGAGACGUUGCUGGCGCCGAAUACCUUGUGGAUGGCGGCGAAGUGCGCCGCGCCCUGCUCGUGGCAGAAGUAGGGCGCAAAGACGCACCCGCGCGCGCACUUGCGCCGCAAGAACUUGCACGCUCCGCACGGCGACCCAAGUCCCGUCAUGCUCAUCAACCGACCGGUGAUGAUCGCUGGAUCGCUCGGUGAUCGGACUGAUUGUGUUGUCUCUCUCCGGUGUCGCGGUGAUCGCUGCUGCUGCUGAGGAUGGUUGGAGUGCAAUGGCCGGCCGAGCGCCAUUGCUUAUAAGGAGAGGAAGAGGAAGGGAGGCGGAGUGCAUGGUUGGGGAUUAGGGCCUAAGGGAAUAAACAAUUCCGGCGUGUCUCCCCGGUGGCCAACCGCCUACAUUAUUUUGAGCUUCCAAUGGCGCGCUCUCCUCCUCCGCUAAGGCCUGCCCUCCCAUUUUUUGUAGGUACACUAAUACUAUACACCACUCUGCCAAUCCCAAGAGAAGGACAAAGCACAAUGGGGCUAGGUCAUCCGGGCGCAAUUAUACACAACUUUCUCUCGUGUUUUUAGUUUAGUUGCUAUCGUGACUGCUUGCCCGUGUGAUGAUUUAUUUUGUGAUUAGUUGGGAUGCGUUGCAGCGCGACUCGCCAGCACAGUCCAGUUGAUAAACCCGGGGAUAAUACAUAUACAAACAUUUCAUACAUCACCUGGCCAGAAGUGGAGCUGUCGUUUGUGUUAUUUUCAGCUCCUUUCUUUUCCUCCGGAGACAAUAUGUGAUGGGAAAUUAAUUUAGAACUUUUUGCUUGGGAUCAGAGACAACUUUGAUAAAUUAGCAAGGGAAAAUAUAAGCACAAGUGUAUGUACAUUUAUAUUCGUGCACAUCAGCAGGCAUGUAUGUCCAAUCAUAUGAGAAAAACAAUCUAGCAGUGGGCUAAUAUACCAAUCUAUGCCACUUAACUAUGUUUUGAAAAGGAAGCCCCAACAUGUACCCUAAUCUGUACCGGCUGCUCUAAACUAAGUGGCACCUGCAGGAAAGAUUGGAACAGAGCAACAGAACUUCUGCGACCCUGCUCUGGCAUCUGCAUCAUGUAGGGUUAAGGAGCUUAUUAUCCUAACCAAGAGUCCAAACUCUUUUGCCUUCCACUGACCACUGGAGGUUUGCUGAGAUUAGGCCGGCCUAUGCCAAUACAGUAAUGCACCUUCACUAGCUAGGUGGUGAUAACCCAUGCUUAUCACUAAAUUGCAUGCAACAUGACUAAAUCGUGUAGGUAGGUAAGCAGUGGUAACAAACUAGGAACAACCAACGAAAGCACAAAGGGCAAGGAGCACUUGAAUCCCAACGUGUCCAGAACCUACAAAGACAUAGAGAUUCCCAACGUGGUGGACCAGCCAACAUCAUCCGUCUCACAAACAAAUGCAAUUUGGGGAAAGAACACAAGAGGUAAAUAUUCUGUGCAGCAUUUGAUUCCUCAGUGCAUCAGACAUUCCCACGAGCAUCUCUCGUGUGCAUGUUGCCAAUUUCUCCUCUGUGCGUAAGCUUGGCCUCUAAAUGGAAGAGGUGUAAAACGCCCAGGAAAAAAUCAGUUAACCAAACCAAUACUAGACCUAGCAGAUAAAGCGGGCAAGAAGCAUACUACGCACCCUUGAUCCUUUUCCCUCGCUCUAAACCUGUGUCUGUUCUUUACCUUGGAGGAAAAUUACUUCUCCUCCCUAAAUUACUUUUCUGAAUUUUCUCGAUUUGAAUAUAUUACUCAAAAGCCGCCGAGGCAGCCAGCACAGAAUUACAAAGGCACGGCGCAGCGUGCGGAGAGGUAGGAACGACACGAGUAGACGUCCUCCUUGUCACAUGUUGCCAUGAGACGAUGUGACCAGAGGUCUAGGUCAGAGAUAAGAGCUCGGAGGGUUAUUACAGAAUGUUGAUCAAUGUUUCUAAAUAGCAUGUCAUUGCGCGCAGCCCAAAUCUUCUAGAGCAGAGACAUGAGAAUAAAGGGCCAAGCCUUGUGUGGCAGGUGGUGAGGUAGCGGGACGUCCCAAAGGUCGAUGAUGCCCUCCACCUGUGGUAGGAUGCCCAGUCGUUGCCAGACUCGGUUGGCAAGGGGGCAGGUGAGGAAGAGGUGCGUGAAGUCCUCGGGUAGCGUAGCACAUCGAGGACAAGAGUCCGUGGAGAUGAUCUGCUUGUGGGCAAGGUUGACCCUGGUGUUGAGACGAUCCUUGAAGAGAAGCCAGGCGAAAAUUUUGAUCUUGUGUGGCACCCUGGAGUGCCAAAUGAGGGGGGCGAGGAGAUCGCAGUCCGGACGUGCCAUGAGCGUGCCGUACACAUGCUUGGUGGAGAAGGCAAGACCCCGUAGAAGGAACCUUUGGUCUUCCUCAGCCGAGGGGACGAAAUCCUGCAAAACAGCCAACAACGCAACAAGUUCUUGCUCUGCCAGGAGGGAGAGACGGUUACGGAGGUUAGCUUCUAAACCGUAUGCAGCACAUUAGCCACCUUAACCACCUUAAGCCGUAUGUUUGUUAGGACAAAGGAGAUAGACUGUAGAGUGGGUAUUUGCUGUGCAAUGGUACGACAAAGGAAUGAGUUUUGGGGUGGGGGUGUGACCAAAGCAUUUGGAUGUUGAAGAUCCAGCCAAUCCAGCCAGGGAGUGGAGGAAGAAGUGAGGGUCUUGGCUGCAAAUUUCAUGAGCAGGCAAUUAUUCUGAAGAAGCAAGUUUUUAAGCCCUAAACCACCAUAUUUUUUGGGAAUGCAAACGUUUUUCCAUGCAAUAAGGCAUUGAGCACCCGAAACUAAAUCCUCCCCUGCCCAGAAGAAAGCUCUACGAAUGGAGUCUAGGGUUCUUAGAAGUUUUUUGGGGAAGCGGAAGACAGACAUGAAGUAGGUGAGUAGGGAGUCAAGGACUGCGGAGAUGAGAACGAGGUGAUCGCCUUUGUCAAGUAGCUUAGCGCGCCAGCCGGCCAGUAGCUUGCGUGAGCGUUCUAGGAUGGGAUCGAAGGCGUUGGAGGGAGGUUUAGUAGGGGAGAGGGGGAGGCCUAGAUAGGUUUGGGGAAAGGAGGCGCGUGAGCAGCCCAUGGCGAGAAUUUUCUCGAUUGUAUUUUGGCUAGGUCAUUCUCCUAAACUCUGGUAUGCCAGAGCACUUUACACCUAGCGGUUUCAUUACCCCGCCUUUGUACCAACCAAGGAUGCAUACAUCUAUAUCGCUACACAUUCGAUAAAAUUAGCAAAAAUGAGAAAACAUGUUGUGGCGGGUGUUAAACACAAUACAAGCCAAAGCUGGGACCCCGACACUGGAGACUACCAGGAAAUCCUCCAAACGCAUCAACUACGCAGGUAUAGGACUUGCAAUGUCAUCGCCGGAGUCGACCAAUGAGGCCAAUUUUUGGAAUUUCAUUCGGGUAAAGCAUGUAUCGAUGUCUCAUAGCAAUACCUUCAAGGAAGAAACACUGCAUAACAUUGUCGUAGCUGGGUCCGGAUAAUCAUACCCUGGUUUUCACCUUGGAUAGUUGAUUACCGUCACGGCCACUCCACAGAUCCACCUAACGGACCAUACAGAAUUGUUAGAACCUUCUAUACACGAUAUUGUGCCUCUAGGACCUUUUAGGAUGUCGUUCAUCCACUCACUUCGGCAAGACAUUGUCAGAAAAACUACAUCCCCGCAUGCAAGAAGAAUUAAAACCCUAAUCAUCCUUGUCGCAUAGGAGGUGUGGUUUCAAAAGGAAUAUAUGUGUUUCAAAUUAAGUUCUUUAUCGAGAAGCAUGUUAUCCAGGCAAUCAUGCAAUAUAACUGUGACGCCUUGCAGGUGCCAAGCAUCUGGUUUCCCAGUUUAGGAAUCAUAUUUAAUUAUGGGCAUGACUAGCUCUCAUCUAGAUGUGAAUUAACUAACUCUCAUCGAACUCCUACACCAUCUGAUUUGACGUGGAGAUUCGUGAGGAUUUUUUUCCUUCUCUUUUUUUGUUUGGUUGACAAAAUGAUGUAUGGGUUAGAUGAGACCAUGUUAAUUCUCACGCGAAAUAGCAAAUCUGAUUAAUUAUUGUAAUACUUUUCUUUUCUUUUUUCAGUUUUCCUUUCUUUCUUUCUUUCUUUCUUUCCUUUCAGUUUCCUUUCUUUCUAAGGAUGAACACAUAGUUUAAAGUCAUUUACCAGCUGGUUUGCACUUCGCUUUUAGAAAGUGCAGAAAAGGACAUGCAAGCUUGCACUUUGCUCACAGUUCGAAUUCAGAAACUCUAGAUGAUCAAUUUUCCUUUAUGUCAAAGUUCCCUGGAUAGCUAGCUCAUCUGCAUAUGUAGGUUGUGCUCCAGCUGCUACGUGCCUAGUUGGAUCCCUUUACAAGUUUCAAAAAGAAACAGUUGGAUCUCUUUUCAUGUUUGUUUCCUUCCGUGUCACGUCAUAUCGUCUCGCGCAUAUAGGAGCCGGCGACAAACAGUUGAACGGGAGUGGACAGGUGUAGUAGGUCUGGUACUUGCACCCUGAGGCUUUUGUUUUCUUGCUUCAUGCCUAUUUGGUCCCACGAUGACCACUAAUGCAGACUCUUUCCCCUUCUUUUGCCAAUGUAUAUUUUGCCCUCCCUUGUCCUAGGGACUAGUGUUGAUCUGUCGACUUCAGAGAAACAUGAUGCGAAGCAAAGUUUUAUUCCUAGUCGCUUCUUUUGUCCAGCUUGCAAACAUGUCGCGGGGAAUUUCUUUCUCACAAAAUAAAACUGGUAAGGAAAAAAAAAUGGAGCCACACAAUUACGAAACUCCUUUCCCGCUCGCGAAACUGAGGCGACUAAGGUGAAGAGCACAUUCCCUCAAUCUCCGACGCCAAGCCCGUGGGUUCUCCUCCCAUUUGCCUGGUGCUUUGGUGACCGGUGGUGGCAGGAGAGGUGAAUCCCAGUGUCUCGGCAUCGGCUAAUAGGUAGGGUAGGGUUAGAUCCUCGCAAAGGCGGAGCUCGGUUGAUGGCGGUGCACCAUCCUUGAUACGGUCUUCUAGUCUUUGAUCCACCUUGAACUCAUCUGUUGGGACGGAGACGACGAAAUUCCAAUGUAGAUUCAUGCCGUUCCCUCGGGGCGGCGAUGUAGGGUUUCUUGCCGUGCGUUUGCACUGGUGAGAUCAACUGUCGAGGUUUUGGUGGCGGCGACUGUGGCUCUGGGGACAUGCUCGAAGACUUUCCGGCUAUCACCGACAAAACCGAUGCGUCGUCGACUCGGCAUGGCAGCAGUAGUGGUCAUUCACGCUUAAUGUAUCCGGGUCCUUUUCGGAAAGAAAGAAAAAGGAUGCAUGGUGUUCUUAUCUUGGUGCAAGUGUUUAUGAGAUUAUAUAUUAUGAAUCCAUGGCACCAACAUUUCAUCCCGCGUCCAUGUGGUAUGUUUUCACGGAAGCUCAAUCAGGUAGUAAUAAUUAAGCUGGACAGCCGCAAAGUGGGUUUCGAUUGGAAACGAGUUAAAGGUAGUAAGUACGGCCCGAGGCUGCACGCUGCCUUGCGGCCGGAAUCAGAAGCAAGAGCGGAAUCAAGUUAAGCUCGAGCUUCCAGGAGGGCUAUCACAAACAGUGGUGAAACUCCGAUGAGGCCCCAGUCGGACGGACGGACGGACGGACGGACGUGUACGGGUCCUCUCCGGUCUAGAGUAGAAUGAACCGACGAAGCAUGCAUGCAGAAGGGGACAAGGCGGCCCUGAAACCUUUGAAGGCCGCUGCCUCCCCUCCGGGACGCCGCGCGUGCUAGCUACCUCGAUCAUUCCUUUUACCAUCAUCCCAUCCAAUCGGCUGGCAAAUCAAUCCUUUACCAACGUGACUGUCAUGCGAUUGAUCUCCCUUGCAAUAAUGCUGCCUUUUUAGAGUCUACCGCGCACGUACCCUCGCCUUUCCUUUCAGUCCAUCCCUGCCUACCAUGCAGCAGCUCCAGGCUCUGCAUGCAGCCACUGUCUACCAUGAAGCAGCUCCAGGCUCCUUUCAGUCGAUCUCUGCCUACCAUGCACCCAUGCAGACAUGGAUGCCUUUAAUUUACACACGUCGCGGGCGGAGCUGCAUGUGGAUGUUCGCCGUGGGUCAUCGCCAAGCCUCCGUAACACUGCGAGAUGAUGAGCAUCGCAUGGAAGCAAUCAGGGCGGGGGGUCUAAAAGAAAUGGGGUCGGCCGACCUGCACACCAUGGUUUAGUUUAGUUAGGACACGUUUAGUAACUUGUGCUGGCUGUGCCGAUUGAUCCAGCUACCGGCCAGGAAACCGAGAGAAGUGGGGGCAAAUUAGAAAACUAUUACGACUGAAAAAGUUGUCUCGGGAGGUUUGGCGUACGUACGUCGCCUGUGCGGAUCGUGGAGAGCAAGGGGAGGACAUGUUCCAAGUAUUCCUGGGGAUGCGAGCAAGCAGAUGGCGCUGCGGUGCGGUGGGUCUCGUUGCUCGCCUACUCCCCCACAAGUCCCAUGAACUCGCUCGUCCAUGGACCCGACAUGUGCCCGGUAUCAGAACAUCCAUCGUACAUUCGUACUACUUACUACCAAAGUACUAAGUAUCAAUAGGAUUGGUGCCUAUGUCAGGCUCGAGUGGAAAGUACAACAGCAGCUAGCUACUGCACUACAGCUUCAGUUUGCUUUUCUCCAUUAGUUUUUGAGGAAUCAGCCAGCCUCGAGCUAUGUUUUAGCUAAAUGCUACUCUCUUGGUCUCAUAAUAUAAAAACGUUUUUGACACUAGUGUAGUGUAAAAAACGAUCUUAUAUUAUGGGAGAGAGAGAGUACCAUAUAUUGAUCUGAUGUUCCGAGGAAGUGAUUUUCCUAGGGAACACUUCGUAGGACGUCCAUUUCUCAUGUGCGAAUCUCAAAGCGAUCGAUGUGGCAAAUCCAUGUUUGCUCCCAUGUCUGAGUGAACGACUGAGCGGACGACACUUAAUGUUCGCUCCCCAUGGCAAUCUCAGCGCACGACGUGACCCCUGUCUUAUCCCUCAAUCUUCCCCUCAAAUUAAAUCACGUCCGGAUAGCAAAUUCCGUAUCUAGAGCAUGGCAUUAUCCUACAGUUCCCUCUGAUGUAGCAUUGAAAUCCCCUUCUGGCAGCAUGGCCAUUUCUAAGAGUCGGGCAAAUUUCUUUUCAUAUAGCAUGGCAAUUCUCUGAUGUGAGCAUUGCAAGUCUACCUAGUGUAGCAUCACAAUUCAUGAAUAUGUGUGGAAAUGUUUUUCUUUUUUCUAAACCUGACAAUUCUCUAUGUCGCAUCACAGCAAAUCCCUGGAAAGCAUAGCAAUUUACUCUGAUGCGGCAUGACUGUUUUCUGACAAUCCUUCUGCUAGCAUGACAAAUCUUUCUUUUCGACACAUGUCAAAUCUUUCUGUAUAGCAUUGUGCUUUGAGGGAACACUCUCUGAUGGUGCCGUUCGCUCAAACCAGCAUCUUGUAGAGAAUGUUUGUAUCCCCUAAUCUUCCCCUCAACCUCACGAAGGAAUGUCAGCGCGUUAUUGGGUCCAUGUUUUAUCAUAAAGGUAAUUUGUGCACUCCACCUUUUGAGUUUAGUAUACUCCCUCUAGUUAUGGGUUGCUGCAUGCAGAAUGCUCGCUGGCACGCGUCUCUCUCGCUAGUCGGCAUGCACCCUCUCUUUUGUACUUCUCACUUGGCUAUAUAUAUUAUCCAAGAAGAAGAAAACAUGUAGGAGUAAAAUAUAUACUACUGACACUCGUUUUCAUACAUGGCUCAUCAGAGUAUUGGCUGCCUCCAAUCAUGAGAGCAGUCAAGAAGGCUUCACUUCACGCCUCCCAUUUCUUAUGGCAUCCACCCAAACACACCCUUGACCGGACUUAACUGGCUUGGAGUCUAUUUACUAUUUCCACUGGCAAAAAAAAAAUGGUUGAUCGACUCACUUGCAACUAAGACAGCAAAAUUCUUUCCGUGUUAGUCCCUUCAUUCCUAAAUAUAAGUCUUUUUAGAGAUUACAAUACAGACUACAUACAAAACAGAAUGAGUGAAUCUACACUCUAAAAUAUGUUUAUAUACAUUUGUAUGUAGUUUGUAUUGAAAUCUUUAUAAAGACUUAUAUUUGAAAACGGAUGGAGUAGAUGAUGAUAUCGCCACCAUGCAGCCGAUGAUGGACUGACCGCUGCUAGCUUCGCCGCGUACGUUUCAUUGCCUGCCAGGAAAUGCGCUGGCUAGCUUGCUAGAACGCACACGGCCUGAAUUCCCUGAAAAUAUUCCUCACACGCACGCACGAACGGCCGAUGCGAUGCAGCGAACUGCAGGCUACCUUGCGAAUGAUGCAACCCAUGUGUGUGCUGGUCAAAAGAUUGUUAGACAGCGACUGAUCGGCAUCCUCAUUAACUACUGGGUAUAGUGCCCCCGUUGCUAGCUAAGCUACGUGGCUGAUGCAAAAAAUGGGUAGCUGUUGAACAAGGUGUGAUGUGUAGUGGCGGUGGUAAUUCUGCAGUGUCUCCGUUUUGGCGUACGUGGUGGCUGACAGAGACUGAAAGAUCAUAUGCGGGUUUGCUCUGACCAAAACGCAUGCAUAUGCAGUAUGCUGGACUUCCUUGGCACAGCAUGAUCUCAUCUUGGUAACACUCUCAACUCUGGUUAUUAAUUUCGGCCGUCACGUACUUAAGGCAGCCAGCCAAGAGAUUAGCUAGAGAUGAUGAUCGUCGUCGGGCACGAGUGGAGAGCAUGUUCUGCAGCAGGAAGUACUUGUGGCUGGUCAAACAAAUGCAGAAUUAGAAGCGGCUGAUCCAAAAGAAAGGGUAAUUAACUAUGUUAACUAUAGUAAUAUAAUGGGGGUUUAAGGUGGCGUCACGGCUCACAUGGCGUGCAUGCAUGAGAGCAAGCUAGGCGCCAAACGGGUUGGGUGGGCGGUCAAAUUUGGCCGUGUCCGUCCGUGGAACGACGAAGUAAUUAACCAAUGGAACCGUCGGUCGGUGGCCCAAAACAAAAAUAUGCCGCAAACACCAUGAUGGCCAAGCUUACAAGCAAUACCUUCCCACAGGGCCGGGCUAAAAUUCGCAUCGCGUCGCACGGUCCUUGUAGCUAGCUAGUUAGGGUUCAUCUGGUUUCUCAAAAAAAAAAGAGUUAGGGUUCAUCUUCCCUUUGUUUAUGGGUUCCAUACAUAACUAGUUAGGGUUCGUCUUCCGUUUGUUUAUGGGUUCAACACAUAACGCGGCCAGCCAUCGCGUACGUGCGUUGCAACUAAUAUAGAUCGUUGCACGAUCUAAUCAUAGGUAGCUUAAUUGACGAUUGUUAUAAAUUGCUCUACGUGAUCCAAGGACCGAUCCAGGGUGUACACAUUAUUGAUGCAGCGUAUGUAAACAUAGAUUGUUCUCCUUAUUCUUGUGCGCGUACGUGUGCGCAUUUUUAAUCCGCUUGCGAUAUGUUAAAGUACUGUAGUUGUAGUUGGUCGUUGUUCCUCAGCUCGUUCCUGAAUCUCUCGAGUGUACAGUUCGACAUGGAAAACAGGCUGCCUUGAUGAGUGAAGCCGAGGUAUACAUAAUGGCUAGGAGACCCCGCAUCCUCCCGACCCGCAAAACGUUUUUGCAGUUCGCGGAAAAACGUCUUUACGGGCCGGCGCGGACGACCGCAGUUGCAGACCCCGCAUAAUGGACUCGUAAAAAAAGAUAUUUCCAGAAUAUGCUUUUUUACGGGUUGGGGUUGCGGCGUCUGAUCUGGCGCAUCUCCUUCCGGCCCGCAAAACUUAAAUUUGCAACUCAAUUUGAUCUAGCAUAUUGCAUUGCUUUGUUUUAUAACAACAUUGGAUACAAAAGGUAUCACCAAAUCUUUGCUAGAAUAGCAAGACCAAAGAAAACAAGAACUACAAGAAUGCAUUUUAGAAGAUUUCCAAUUUUCAUAACUGCUUCCAGUAGUUGGACUGAUAUCUUCUCCAUGCAUUCGUUGUUGAUCUGUGGAUUUUUGAUUUUGCAUUCUUCUUUCUUCAUCUUUGGUUCGGAAGAAGUAGAUGUUGCUUCCCCUUUAGUUGCACAUGCAGACGCAUCAUUGCCUUCGAUUGUACCAAGGAGUGCACUAACAUCUAUUAAAUUUCUUUCUAUCAUCAAAUCAAUGUAUUGCCCUUCCCAAAACCAAAAUGGGCAUCCUUCGUCCUACACAAAAGAAUGAGCAAGCUCGAAGUGAGCCAUCGCAAUUUAGUUAAAGAAUGAACUGUGAAACGAGCUACCGCAAGUGCACAUACCUCGUCGUUUUCGCAUUUGAAGAAUACCCAUCCGGGGUGCUUCGGCGUGCUCGAAGUGAGCCGCAGCACUUUCCGCGUGCAGUCGUCGCACUCUAUGAGCGGCAUCGGCAAGCCACAAAGACGCUGCGCGAGCGCCGAGCCCGGUGGACAGCCGGACGAGUCCAUGCCCGCAAACCUUCGGCGACGGCGGGCGGACGAACUCGCACCUGAAUGCGGCGAUGUGCCCUUGCCUGGGCUGCGGAGAGGCUCCCCGACCACUCCAUAGCUUGGGGCAGCAACCGGCGGCCGGAAAAAAGCCAAAUCCGGCGGCCCGCCGACGCAGGGGGGAGGCCUCGUGCGCCUGGCGGCCUUCCGGCGUGCUCCUGCCGGCUGCGGUCGCCGGAAUCUUGGGCGGCGGCCGGCGGCGGCGCGAGAGGGGAGAGGAGAGGUGGUUGGUGGGAGAAAGCGCGGGAUGAAAUGUCCCCCCACCAACCGCUUUCGCUUAUAUGCAGGACACCGCAGCCGCGAGGGGUAAAUCCGCGUUUUUACGGAUUGGGCUCGGGAUUUUGCCGCGCCCCCUAAAUUUUUUUGCGGACCGGGGCGGGAUGCGGGUCUGAUCGGGCGGGUUUUUCCGCCCCGGCCCGCAUUUUGGCGGUUAUUUUACCGGUCAGGGCGGGAUACGGGGUCUGCUAGAGUUGCUUUAAGUGUUGUCUAAUUUAUGCCAGUUCCGUCCGUUCGUGGCACAGUGCACGGACGGCGCCGGACAAAAUUUUGGUCUUCAGGGACUUGCGUGACCACGUCGUUUCUGCGUGCCGUUUGCGUCGCCGCGAAAAGAUGAGAUCGAAUGGGAAGCCCACAGUAUGUUUGUUUCAUUGUUUGUCAUCAACUGCCUCUGUCGUAUCCAGUGUUCUCCAUCAGGCAAUCGAGUCCGUAGUAAGUUCAGUCCAGCCUUGAAAACUCUAGUUGAUCUUUCUUAGCACCUGCAGUCUCCUCUACGCUUGUACCAGUGCAGGACAAGCUCAAUUUUUUUGAUAAAGGGCAAUUUUAUUAUCCUAAAAUAUAGCAUCAAAUGAAUAUAUAACAUUAUGAGUAACAUCCGGCAUCUGCAUAAUUAGGAUGCACACUACACUAGGAUACAGGACAAGCUCAUGCCCACUGCCUAAAAUGGAACGCUUCCGUCGUCCUCGGAUCGAUCGCUCAAGCUUGAAAGAUUUGAACAUUUCAGGUCUUGAAGAGAAGGGUCACUGUCCUUAACUAGUACUAGCAAAAUAUUUAGCUUUGUCGGUGUGGUUGUGCAUAUACUUUAACAUGACACGACACAACAUUGACGUGGAUCCAGCUUGUUGUGGUAGCCAUAGUAUUCGUUUUGGACACAUUCUCAGGACCGGUCAAACCUCCGCUUGUCAUGAACUAUCUAUAUACAUGACGACGUGACUUCGAACCAACAUAUUUAUAUGGUAAGAUGUAGCUUUUUUCAAAGAAGGAGGGAGAGAGUGCUUCCCUCAACAACAAAAAAAGAAGGAGAGAGAGAGUGCAACGGCGGGUAGAAUGGCAGGCUGAACUUUUUUAUGAAUUUUUGACAAAGCAGCAAAGUUAUUUACAAAGGACUCGGUGAGAUUAAGCUAAAGAAAAAGGAAAAUUACGGCCGGUAUAGCAUGACACCCCAGUCGAAUAGGAUUUGCCGCUGGUUCGUAUGGAUGGGCUUAGGCAUGGCUCUCUCCGACGAGGUGGCAGUCGGCGGUGGUGUUGGUCCUAUGGUGGCCACUCCGGCCUACAGGCAGCCUCAUUGUGAAGUGUCGCGGCAUUCGUGAGGGUUUCUCUCUCCAGAUCCAGUGAAUGCCUUCGGCAUCGAGAUGCAAUCUACGGAGGAUGACUUGACACGGAGAGUGUGGUUGUGCAGUUGCGGCGGUCGGUUUUCUAGCCCGGCGCAUGCAGCAUCUGGGAUCGCGGAAAAAUGAUGGCGACAACACAUGAUUAACUUCGAGGAGCUUCAUGGUGAAAACCUUCUGACCCGAGUUGGUUAUACCUGGUAAUGGUGAUGUUUUUGCGUCGUUGUUGAGGCAUUGCUCGAAUAUGCUCGGGCUGGUUUCUCUGGGUGAAAACCUAGAAUCUGACCUUUGGUGGUUGGUCUGAUGAUGGUGGCGCUUGAGUGUUGCUCCAUUCUUGAAGGCUUUCUUGUUGAAGGACUUCGUUGUCCUUGUGGUGUCAUGAGACGGUCGGUACGAAUAUGAUCAUAGUUGUAUUUUGUCGAUCGCUGGCUUGAUCGAUUUGGGUUUAUUUUCUUUUUUCUGGCUUAGGCAUAGCUCUGAUAUUAUGUAUGACUUUGCUUUUUGCCAGUGCUGUUGUGUGUCUUUGUUGAUGAUGACUUUGUGCAUUCUAAUUAUGCAGAGACCGGUGUGUGCUCAAUGUGUAUGUAUUCACUUGAUGCUCAAUUUUGAGUCAAUAAAACUCACGCUUUAUCAAAAAGGAUAUUUUUAUGUACUCAUAAUGUGGUAUCAAGAAGAUACAAAGCAUUAUUGCGUAUGUUUGAGCAAAGCAAAAUGCUCUAAGCGGCCUGGUUCUCAAAUUUCAGAAGACGUAAAGUGCAUGCCCUAACGAUCGAUCGAUGGAGCGGAGCCUCUCUCUCUCUCUCUCUCCCUCCGGUCAAUCGGUUUGAGUGUUGGGUCACUCUCCUCAUCACGUACCUAGCUAGCUAGCUAGCUAGUGAGGUAGCCAUUUUAGGUCCCGUGUCACUGUCCAGGCAAGCACGCAACACUGAGCUAUGCUAGGGAAUCUAGAACGAUCCAUGGAUCGCACAUGUGGCGGCCACGAUUGAUAUAUAGCUCGAGUUCGACGACGGAGAUGGAGACGGAGGCAAGGAACGUAAACUAGGCUCGGUCGAUCAGGGUCAGGGAGAGACAGGGGGAGGCCACCGUGUCCGGCAGUCGUGGGACACGACGCAAUCACGUCGCUCUCCGCCGCGGCGAGGCCUAAACUAAUCCGGCGUGGAGGGCGCUGUAGCUCGACGCGCAGGCAGAUCGUCCAAACUUCAUAAAUUAAAAGGUUUUAUGCAAGUUCUUUUAAAGAAAAAAGGACGGGUGAUGCAGCCAUGGAAGCAAGGUGACAAGGACUUGUUCAGUUUGGACGGAGGCUCUGGCGGAAGACUCCAUUGAUAUGAUCCCGAUUUUCUUUUCCAGUUAAGAGAUUUCAUUUUCAUGAUGAAAUCGACAUGAAAACGGCAUCCGUGGGUCUUUGUGUUCCUUUGAUAGUACGAGUACGUGGCAAACAAACGAAGUGUAGGAAAUAGAAAUGAAAAUAGAGCAUUUGGUUCAGUUCGCCGGUGUGAAAUUGAUGUUUGGCUGUAUUAGGGGGGCCAGGGACUUGACCGGUCUUCUUGGACGAUGCGUGAAUCUGUUCUCCUUUGGUGACCGACCGAUGCAACGACGGAUAAAGUCGCUGUGUUUUUGCCGUGAAACACUGGAGAAUGCGGCGUACGCCACCGCCGUUCGUGUCCGUCUCCCCGUUUCACGGUUCGUCACGUAUGGCAUCCGCUCCACAGCCGGGCGGCGCAGAGUCCAUUCUAGGGUGAACGUUGCGUGAUAGUGGACGGAGCAAGGACGGCGGGCUUCACUACCACUAAGAGCAACUUCAAUGGGGCGACCUAUUUCGUCCGCCCGCGUCUGUUUAAGUCGGCGCGGACAAAAAUGGCGGCCCAACGCGCCGACCCAAACGGACGCGCGUCCGUUUUUCGUCCGUGGCGGACACGAGACGGACGCGUGCGCGCGUCUACUCCUCUCCCCGGGCCCGCCGGUCGGUGGCAGCCACCACCAUUUUCCCUCAUUUUCCUCAAAAACGCUCCUGUCCGCGCGCGCCCCCGCCCCCCAACCAGCCAUGGAGGACGCCAUCGACCUCGACCUCGCCGCCGCCGCCGGCCUCGCCUCCCUCGCCUCGUCCGGCGCCGUCGCCCCCUCCAGGAAAGGCAAGCCUCGUGCCCCGCGCAAGACCGCCGCCGCAAUCAAGCCGAAGAAGGCGCUGACGCCCGAACAGCGGGCAAGGGAGUCGGCCAAGAGGAAGGGCCGGAGGCACGCCGCGGACGCGAGGGAUGAGGCCGCCGCGCAGGCCGCCGCCGUCGCCGCCGCGCAGCAGAAGUUCACCAACGCCCGUGUCGCCGCGGCAACGAGGGAGGCGCUCUACAUGCUAGGGGUAAACCCUAGCCAGCACAGCGUCCUCCAAGCCGCCGUCGCCGUGGCCAGCACCGACUCGUCGGUGUUUCCUCGGAUGGUGAUGCCCGACUCACCCCGCGCGUCGGCUUGCAACCCGGUCCCCGGCUUUCACGUCUACCCGCAGGCCUCCCGCCUCUCCGGGGAGUGCUCACCCGACGUGAGCGUGGUCGCGCCUUCCACGCCCGCGCCCGCGCCCAUCGACCUCAACGCCACCCCGGUGGUCGGUGGCUCGUCGUCCGGCGGCACGAGGAAACGCGCGCGACAGCCACCGGCCGACGGGCUCCCGGACGCCCGUAACCUGUUCGAGGAAAUGCUGUCCGCCGUCGACGAGGACUACAUGCAAAACCUCAUCUUCGAGGGUGGUGCGCCGGGCGCUGGCUGCGAUCCCGACGAGACACAAAGCCAGGACGACCGCGGGGCGUUCAUGCCGGCCGCUGGCUAGAUCCCGAUCAGGCGGCCUUCAUGCGUGAUCAGGUCGGCAUCGACCUGGACGGCUUCCCCCUCGACCACGAGUUCCCGGACGACUAUGGGCUAGAGGAAGAGGACGAGUGGGACAUCGAAGUGGAGCCUUUGUUCGAGGACGAGCUCGCCAACCAAGCCGCCGGUCCUAAGCCGAAGCGCAAGAGCAAGCGCAUGAAGGCGUACAUAGCUGCCGAGGACAAGCUUCUUUGUGCGUGUUGGCGAGACAUUGGACAAGACCCAAAGACGGGCGCCGAGCAAAAGCAUUCGACCUUUUGGACUCGUGUGCACCGCGAGUUUCAUGAGCGCAAGAAGUUUCCACCUUACCAAUUUGUGAGCACGCGCGGGUGGGUCUCCAUUUCCAAGCGGUGGAGGGUGAUCCAACAAGAGUGCAACAAUUUUUGCGCCACCCUUGAGAGUGUCAAGGCCCGCCCCGUGAGCGGCAUCGGCAUACAAGACAUGGUAUGAUAGCAAGCAAGCCGCCCUCUUUUGUGCCAUCAAGAUCAUCCUUUUACGUCUUCAUUUGCUAUCACUUGCCCAUAUGCUUGCAUUAGUCCCGGUUCAUGACUGAACCGGAACUAAUGUGAAUACUGCCCUGUGACCAAAGCCCUGUUUUCUACUAGUGAACCUAUCUAGGCCUCCCCCUCUCCCCUACUAAACCUCCCUCCCAUGCCUUCGAUCCCAUCCUAGAACGCUCACGCAAGCUACUGGCCGGCUGGCGCGCUAAGCUACUUGACAAAGGCGAUCGCGUCGUUCUCAUCUCCGCAGUCCUUGACUCCCUACUCACCUACUUCAUGUCUGUCUUCCGCUUCCCCAAAAAACUUUUAAGAACCCUAGACUCCAUUCGUAGAGCUUUCUUCUGGGCAGGGGAGGAUUUAGUUUCGGGUGCUCAAUGCCUUAUUGCAUGGAAAAAUGUUUGCAUUCCCAAAAAAUAUGGUGGUUUAGGGCUUAAAAACUUGCUUCUUCAGAAUAAUUGCCUGCUCAUGAAAUUUGCAGCCAAGACCCUCACUUCUUCCUCCACUCCCUGGCUGGAUUGGCUGGAUCUUCAACAUCCAAAUGCUUUGGUCACACCCCCACCCCAAAACUCAUUCCUUUGUCGUACCAUUGCACAACAAAUACCCACUCUACAGUCUAUCUCCUUCGUCCUAACAAACAGUGGGACGCAUACUUACUUCUGGCACGACACUUGGCUCACCCCAACACCUCUAGCUCGCACCUUCCCUCACCUAUACUCACACUCCACUCUCCAGCUGGUUAAGGUGGCUAACGUGCUGCAUACGGUUUAGAAGCUAACCUUCGUAACCGUCUCUCCCUCCUGGCAGAGCAAGAACUUGUUGCGUUGUUGGCUGUUUUGCAGGAUUUCGUCCCCUCGGCUGAGGAAGACCAAAGGUUCCUUCUACGGGGUCUUGCCUUCUCCACCAAAGGGUUUACUAGAGUCAAUAAUUUAGUUCACAUCGCCAUGUGAUUAAGACCCAAGGAGUACUAAGGUGUGAUCAUGUUUUGCUUUUGAGAGAAGCUUAGUCAACGGGUCUGCCACAUUCAGGGACGUAUGUAUUUUGCAAAUUUUCUAUGUCUACAAUGUUGUGUACGGAGCUACUCUAGCUAAUUGCUCCCACUUUCAAUAUGUAUCCAGAUUGAGACUCAGAGUCAUCCGGAUCGGUGUAAAAGCUUGCAUCGGCGUAACUCUUUACGACAAACUCUUUGUCACCUCCAUAACCGAGAAAUAUCUCCUUAUUCCACUAAGGAUAAUUUUGACCGCUGUCCAGUGAUCCACUCUUGGAUCACUAUUGUACCCUCUUGCCAAACUCAUGGUGAGGUACACAAUAGGUCUGGUACACAGCAUAGCAUACUUCAUAGAACCUAUGACUGAGGCAUAGGGAAUGACUUUCAUUCUUUUUCUAUUUUCUGUCGUGGUCGGGUUUUGAGUCUUUACUCAACUUCACACCUUGCAACACAGGCAAGAGCUCCUUCUUUUGACUGUUCCAUUUUAAACUACUCCAAAAUCUUGUCAAGGUAUAUACUCAUUGAAAAAACUUAUCAAGCGUCUUGAUCUAUCUCUAGAGAUCUUGGUUCCCAAUAUGUAAGCAGCUUCACCGAGGUCUUUCUUUGAAAAACUCCUUUCAAACACUCCUUUAUGCUUUCCGGAAAAUUCUACAUCAUUUCCGAUCAGCAAUAUGUCAUUCACAUAUACUUGCCCGAAAGGAUGUAGUGCUCCCACUCACUUUCUUGUAAAUACAGGCUUCUCCAAAAGUCUGUAUAAAACUAUAUGCUUUGAUCAACUCAUCAAAGCGUAUAUUCCAACUCUGAGAUGCUUGCACCAGUCCAUAAAUGGAUCGCUGGAGCAUGCACACUUUGUUAGCACCUUUUGGAUCGACAAAACCUUCUUGUUGCAUCAUAUACAACUCUUCUUUAAGAGAUCCAUUAAGGAAUGUAGUUUUGACAUCCAUUUGCCAGUUUUCAUAAUAUGUGGCAAUUGCUAACAUGAUUCGGACAGACUUAAGCAUCGCUACGAGUGAGAAAAUAUCAUCGUAGUCAACACCUUGAACUUGUCGAAAACCUUUUUGCGGCAAUUCGAGCUUUGUAGAUAGUAACACUACCAUCAGUGUCCGUCUUCCUCUUGAAGAUCCAUUUAUUCUCAAUGGCUUGCCGAUCAUCGGGCAAGUCAAUCAAAGUCCAUACUUUGUUCUCAUACAUGGGUCCCAUCUCAGAUUUCAUGGCCUCAAGCCAUUUCGUGGAAUCUGGGCUCAUCAUCGCUUCCUCAUAGUUCGUAGGUUCGUCAUGGUCUAGUAACAUGACUUCCAGAACAGGAUUACCGUACCACUCUGGUGCGGAUCGUACUCUAGUUGACCUACGAGGUUUGGUAGUAACUUGGUCUGAACCUUCAUGAUCAUCAUCAUUAGCUUCCUCACUAAUUGGUGUAGGAAUCACUGGAACUGAUUUCUGUGAUGAACUACUUUCCAAUAAGGGAGCAGGUACAAUUACCUCAUCAAGUUCUACUUUCCUCCCACUCACUUCUUUCGAGAGAAACUCCUUCUCUAGAAAGGAUCCAUUCUAAGCAACGAAUAUCUUGCUUUCGGAUCUGUGAUAGAAGGUGUACCCAACAGUCUCCUUUGGGUAUCCUAUGAAGAUGCAUUUCUCCUAUUUGGGUUUGAGCUUAUCAGGUUGAAGCUUUUUCUCAUAAGCAUCGCAGCCCCAAACUUUAAGAAAUGACAACUUGGGUUUCUUGCCAAACCACAGUUCAUAUCGUGUCGUCUCAACGGAUUUAGAAGGUGCCCUAUUUAACGUGAAUGCAGAUGUCUCUAAUGCAUAACCCCAAAACGAUGGUGAUAAAUCGGUAAGAGACAUCAUAGAUCGCACCAUAUCUAAUAAAGUAUGGUUAUGGCGUUCGGACACACCGUUACGUUGUGAUGUUCUAGGUGGCGUGAGUUGCGAAACUAUUCCACUUUGUUUCAAAUGAAGACCAAACUCGUAACUCAAAUAUUCGUCUCCGCGAUCAGAUCGUAGAAACUUUAUUUUCUUGUUAUGAUGAUUUUCCACUUCACUUUGAAAUUCUUUGAACUUUUCAAAUGUUUCAGACUUAUGUUUCAUCAAGUAGAUAUACCCAUAUCUGCUUAGAUCAUCUGUGAAGGUUAAAAAAACGAUACCCGCCGGGAGCCUCAACACUCAUCGAACCGCAUACAUCAGUAUGUAUUAUUUCCAAUAAGUUAGUUGCUCGCUCCAUUGUUCCGGAGAACGGAGUCUUAGUCAUCUUGCCCAAGAGGCAUGGUUCGCAAGCAUCAAGUGAUUCAUAACCAAGUGAUUCCAAAAGCCCAUCAGCAUGGAGUUUCUUCAUGUGCUUUACACCAAAGUGAACGGUAGUGCCACAAAUAUGUUGCACUAUCAUUAUCAACUUUGCAUUACUACGAUCGAGAUUCAAUAAACCAUUCACCUUGGGUGUAUGACCACAGAAGGUUUUACUCAUGUAAACAGAAUAACAAUUAUUCUUUGAUUUAAAUGAAUAACCGUAUUGCAAUAAACAUGAUCCAAUCAUAUUAUGCUCAACGCAAACACCAAAUAACAUUUAUUUUAGGUUCAACACUAAUCCCGAAUGUAAAGGGAGUGUGCGAUGGUGAUCUUAUCAACCUUGGAAUCACUUCCAACACACAUCGUCACCUUGCCCUCAACUAGUCUUUGUUCAUUUUGUAACUCCUAUUUUGAGUUACUAAUCAUAGCAACUGAACCAGUAUCAAAUACCUAGGGGCUACUAUGAACACUAGUAAAGUACACAUCAAUAACAUGUAUAUCAUAUAUACUUUUGUUCACUUUGCCAUCCUUCUUAUCCGCCAAGUAUUUGGGAUAGUUCCGCUUCCAGUGACCAUUUCCUUUGCAGUAGAAGCAUUCAGUUUCACGCUUGGGUCUAGCUUUGGGCUUCUUCAUGGGAGUGGCAACUUGCUUGCCAUUCUUCUUGAAGUUCCCUUUCUUUCCCUUGCCCUUUUACUUGAAACUAGUGGUCUUGUCAACCAUCAACAUUUGAUACUUUUCUUGAUUCCAACCUUCGUCGAUUUCAGCAUCACGAGGAGCUCGAGAAUUGUUUUUGUCAUCCCUUGCAUAUUAUAGUUCAUCACGUAGUUCCAGUAACUUGGUGAUAGUGACUAGAGAACUCUGUCAAUCACUAUCUUAUCUGGAAGAUUAACUUCCACUUGAUUCAAGCGAUUGUAGUACUUAGACAUUCUGAGCACAUGCUCACUGGUUGAGCUAUUCUCCUCCAUCUUGCAGGCAAAGUACUUGUCAGAUGUUUCAUACCUCUUGACUCGGGCAUGAGUCUGAAAUACCAAUUUCAGCUCUUGGAACAUCUUAUAUGCUCUGUGGCGUUCAAAACAUUUUUGAAGUCCCGGUUCUAAGCCGUAAAGCAUGGCAUACUAAACUAUCAGGUAGUUAUCAUACCGAGCUUGCCAAACAUUCAUAACGUCUGCAUCUGCUCCUGCAAUAGGUCCAUCACCUAGCGGUGCAUCAAGGACAUAAUUCUUCUGUGCAGCAAUGGGGACAAUCCUCAGAUCACGGACCUAGUCCGCAUCAUUGCUACUAUCAUCUUUCAACAUAGUUUUUUCUCUAGGAACAUAUCAAAAAUAAACGGGGAGCUACAUCGCGAGCUAUUGAUCUACAACAUAGUUAUGCAAAUACUAUCACGUACUAAGUUUAUGAUAAAUUAAUGUUCAAUUAAUCAUAUUACUUAAGAACUCCCACUUAGAUAGACAUCCCUCUAAUCAUCUAAGUGAUCACGUGAUCCAUAUCAACUAAACCAUGUCCGAUCAUCACGUGAGAUGGAGUAGUUUUCAAUGGUGAACAUCACUAUGUUGAUCAUAUCUACUAUAUGAUUCACGCUCGACCUUUCGGUCUCAGUGUUCCGAGGCCAUAUCUGCAUAUGCUAGGCUCAUCAAGUUUAACCCGAGUAUUCUGCGUGUGCAAAAUUGGAUUGGACCCGUUGUAUUUGAACAUAGAGCUUAUCACACCCGAUCAUCACGUGGUGUCUCGGCACGAUGAACUUUCGCAACGGUGCAUACUCAAGGAGAACACUUGUACCUUGAAAUUUAGUGAGAGAUCAUCUUAUAAGGCUACUGCCGAACUAAGCAAAAUAAGAGGCAUAAGGGAUAAACAUCACAUGCAAUAAAUAUAAGUUAUAUGAUAUGGCCAUCAUCAUCUUGUGCCUUUGAUCUCCAUCUCCAAAGCACUGUUAUGAUCACCAUCGUCACCGGCGCGACACCGAUCUCCAUCGUAGCAUCGUUGUCGUCUCGCCAACUAUUGCUUCUACGACUAUCGCUACCGCUUAGUGAUAAAGUAAAGCAAUUACAUGGUGAUUGCAUUUCAUACAAUAAAGCGACAACCAUAUGGCUCCUGCCAGUUGCCGAUAACUCUGUUACAAAACAUGAUCAUCUCAUACAAUAAAAUUUAGCAUCAUGUCUUGACCAUAUCACAUCACAACAUGCCCUGCAAAAACAAGUUAGACGUCCUCUACUUUGUUGUUGCAAGUUUUACGUGGCUGCUACGGGCUAAGAAAGAACCGUUCUUACCUACGCAUCAAAACCACAACGAUUUUUCGUCAAGUGUGUUGUUUUAACCUUUAACAAGGACCGGGCAUAGUCACACUCGAUUCAACUAAAGUUGGACAAACUGACACCCGCCAGCCACAUGUGUGCAAAGCACGUCGGUAGAACCAGUCUCGCGUAAGCGUACGCGUAAUGUCGGUCCGGGCCGCUUCAUCCAAAAAUACCGCCGAAUCAAAGUAUGACAUGCUGGUAAGCAGUAUGACUAUUAUCGCCCACAACUCUUUGUGUUCUACUCGUGCAUAUAACAUCUACGCAUAGACCUGGCUUGGAUGCCAUUGUUGGGGAACGUAGUAAUUUCAAAAAAAAAAUCCUACGCACACGCAAGAUCCAUCUAGGUGAUGCAUAGCAACGAGAGGGGAGAGUGUUGUCCACGUACCCUCGUAGACCGAAAGCGGAAGCGUUAUGACAACGCGGUUGAUGUAUUUGUACGUCUUCAUGAUCUGACCGAUCCUAGCACCAAAGGUAUGGCACCUCCGCGAUCUGCACACGUUCAGCUCGAUGACAUCCCACGAACUCUAGAUCCAGCUGAGGUCGAGGGAGAGUUUCGUCAGCACGAAGCCGUGGUGACGGUGAUGAUGAAGUUACCGGCGCAGGGCUUCGCCUAAGCACUGCAACGAUAUGACCGAGGUGGAAAUCUGUGGAGGGGGGCACCGCACACGGCUAAGACAAUUGUCAACUUGUGUGUCCUAGGGUGCCCCCCUGCCCCCGUAUAUAAAGGAGCAAGGGGGAGGCCGGCCGGCCCUCCUGGGGCGCGCCCCAAGUAGGAUUCCUACUAGAAUUCUAUUCCUAGUAGGUUUCCAACAAGGGAAGAGAGGGGGAAGGAAGGAGAGGGAGAGAAGGAGAAGGAAAGUGGGGCGCCCCCCCCCCCUUCCCUAGUCCAAUUCGGACCCAAGGGGGAGGAGGGGCGCGGCCUACCCUAGCCGCCCCUCUCUCUCUCCACUAAGGCCCAUGUGGCCCAUUAGUUCCCCCGGGGGUUCCGGUAACCCUCCGGCACUCCAGUUUUCUGAAACUUCUCCGAAACAUUUCCGGUGUCCGAAUAUAGUCGUCCAAUAUAUCAAUCUUUAUGUUUCGACCAUUUCGAGACUCCUCGUCAUGUCUGUGAUCAUAUCCGGGACUCCGAACUACCUUCGGUACAUCAAAACACAUAAACUCAUAAUACCUAUCGUCAUCGAACAUUAAGCGUGCGGACCCUACGGGUUCGAGAACUAUGUAGACAUGACCGAGACUCAUCUCCAGUCAAUAACCAAUAGCGGAACCUGGAUGCUCAUAUUGGCUCCCAUAUAUUCUACGAAGAUCUUUAUCGGUCAAACCGCAUAACAACAUACGUUGUUCCCUUUGUCAUCGGUAUGUUACUUGCCCGAGAUUCGAUCGUCGGUAUCUCAAUACCUAGUUCAAUCUCGUUACCGGCAAGUCUCUUUACUCGUUCCGUAAUGCAUCAUCCCAUGACUAACUCAUUAGUCACAUUGCUUGCAAGGCUUAUAGGGAUGUGCAUUACCGAGAGGGCCCAGAGAUACCUCUCCGAUACACGGAGUGACAAAUCCUUAUCUCGAUCUAUGCCAACCCAACAAACACCUUCGGAGACAUCUGUAGAGCAUCUUUAUAAUUACCCAGUUACAUUGUGACGUUUGAUAGCACACUAAGUGUUCCUCCGGUAUUAGGGAGUUGCAUAAUCUCAUAAUCAGAGGAACAUGUAUAAGUCAUGAAGAAAGCAAUAGCAAUAAACUAAAUGAUCAUAGUGCUAAGCUAACGGAUGGGUCUUGUCCAUCACAUCAUUCUCUAAUGAUGUGAUCCCGUUCAUCAAAUGACAACACAUGUCUAUGGAUAGGAAACAUAACCAUAUUUGAUAAACAAGCUAGUCAAGUAGAGGCAUACUAGGGACACUCUGUUUGUCUAUGUAUUCACACAUGUACUAAGUUUCCGGUUAAUACAAUUCUAGCAUGAAUAAUAAACAUUUAUCAUGGUAUAAGGAAAUAUAAAUAACAACUUUAUUAUUGCCUCUAGGGCACAUUUCCUUCAGGUACAAGAACUCUAACUCAGAACUACUGUGAUGCUCAACCACUAUCUAAGUUUGGGCUCUUCAUUUUUCUCUCGAUGGAUCUUAAACACAAAUCACUCGGAGAGGGGAUUCUCAACCAAUCUUCUCGGAAAUCUUAAGCGAAGCAGCCAACGGGCAACGUUGGAGCAGGGUGGCUAUUUAUAGCCGCAGCCUUCCCGGAUGGGAAAAGACCAAAUUGGACAUGUGCAGCAGCCAAUGGCCGAGCGACACGAGUCCAACGGUAACAUUACUUGUGGAGCAAGUAAUGCUAACUUCUCAGUUCGAAUGAUAUCUCCUGCAGCACGAAGAACAACGUCUACUACUCGCAGGUAAUCAUUCAAAACACAAAAAGAUUUCUCUCGCAUCUUUCAGAGGUUUGGGCUAAGCAUCAUGGCGGAUUUAAGCUUCGAGAACCUAUACCCCCCUCUUAAUGGUACGGAGGUUCUAUGACUCAAAUAAAUGAAAGAAGAACAACGAAAUGAAUACUACGUCUUCACUUUGUCUUCGACUUCGACUCGUUGCAGUCAUUUUUCUUCGAACAGAAACUCCAAACCAAUUGCUUCACGUGAAGUCGUCAACAAUAAUCUUCGAGAGGUUAAAUCCUUCACAUCAGUCUUCUCGCCUACAUGUCUUCAAUAGAUGUAGCUCGUUCUUCUCUGCAACGCGGAUAUUUUUUUGGUGAAGUUCCUCUAACUUGGCACCACGGACAGCAUUCUCCUCGGUUCUGCAUGGACUAUUUCUCUCUGUGUGCACUAGCAAACAAAUCAGUCCAUGCAUGUUUCUGUCAACAAUCUCCAAAACACAAGAGGGUAAAUAUUGCACAAACAUGACAAAACAGAACACAUCGAAGGAUAGAUGACUGAAUGAAAUGGAAUGUGAAGGAUAAUGAAAGACGAGAGAUAAUUACGAAGAUGAAACACGCUCCCCCUGAAGAUAUGCAUCGAAUGCAUAGAAAAUGAAGCGGGAGGUAGCGAGAUGAAUCUUCGUACGAGUAGUAUUGACAAAUGAUCUCACUCGUGGUCUCUUUCAAUACACUCGACAGAGUUUGAGAUGUUUCCUGUCACAUACAAUCUUGAAACAGAUUUGUUAGAUAGAGUGAAUCCUUUGAAAUGAUUUGUGACGAAUGAUAAGCCAUGAAGGUUUUCUCAGAACACGGUUUGAAUCCACACGAGAUAUAAGUUCCAUGCAAGUCAGAUACUCGAAGAGAAUCAGAGCAAGGGAAUUAUGGGUAUAUUGCUUGGAGUAGAUUUGCCUUAGGUAAGAUUUCCCUGCAACAAAUGUGAUACAAAGGAUAUAUGUGAGGAAAAAUAGCUUAAGAACAGAUAGAUAGAGUUCACUUUUGAUUCUCAUGAUAUUUUAGUCUGAAGCAACUUUCUUCUUCUGCAAGGUUAGAUAGCGAAAGAUAAUCAUAGUAGCAUAUCUAAACUUGAGACACAUAUAGUUUUAAGGAGUAAAAUAUCUCUUCUUAGGGAUGCAAGAUUUUCAAUCCUACUUGAAACGCUUUCAUUUUCCCUGCAUGAUAGGUAAGUAUUGAAGAUAAUUAUUGCAAGGAAAUGAGCUUUCGAUAGCACCUGCAGACAAAUAGCUGGAAGCGAAAUAUCAUUGUAGGGGGUUAUUAAUGGUACAUGACAACCAAGUAUUUCAACACUACAUGUGGUGCUUUUAAGUUCCAUAGGCAAAAAGUUCGGCGAAACCAAAUUGCUCGGAGAAAAGCAAAUGGCGAAUGGAAACACCCAGCAAAUAACCCGCUUAUCUAUCACUCGAUGUUCUUCUCCCCCUUUUGUCAACAAGUGUCAAAAAGGAAAGAGAAUGCAUGCGAGGAACUACUCGUCCGAAGAACCCUCAGAAUCGGAACUCGAACUGUUCGGCGAUGCAGAAUGAGCGAUGGUUGAGGCCGAAGCAGGAGUUGGAGACGCAGCUUUGGCUUCGAGAUCAGCUUCGGGAGUAGCAGCGCGAGGUGCAUCUGGCUUGAAUACAAGUGGUCCUGCUGUGUCUUCAAGAACAUCAUCAGGUUCAACAAACAGUAGGUCAAUGGAGUCAGAACGUUGAGGAAGCACUGGAGUUUGUCUUCGGAUGCGAGGAACUUCAAACAACUCCAGAUAAUCAUAUUCUUUCUCGAUGCCCUUGGCAGACAGUUGCUUCCGAGAGUAAUGCUUGCGUAAAAGGGUCCAGGAACGCUUCUUUUGUUCCUUUUCAUACAGAAGAGCUUGGCAAGCAUAACUGUGAAGCUUAUUCAUCUCAAUCAUUAUUUCCAUCUUCUCUUUUACGGUCGAGCUUGAUAUGAAUUUCCAAUGCUUGCUGAGUGCGAAGCAAAUCUCGUACAGAGAAGGAUUUUCAUCACGAGGGAUUUCAACUUUUGCUUUCAUGACCUUCGGAACCGCAGCAGGAGUAGACACAGAAGCAUGAGUUGUAGCAUCAAUCGAUAUUUUCCCUUUGCCGAUUUCCUUCACAAUUUGGAGUGUGUCACGAACUGAUGGCAUGAAAACUUUCGGGACAUGCGGGAAGAAGAACAUUUCCUCAAUAAGUUGCAUGAUGGCAAACAUGAUCCAAGGUGCAUAUGGCUUCAAGGCUUGAGGGUUAUUAGCUGCAUAGGCCAAGUUGCGGAUGAAAAGAUCCAGAACAUCAAAACGAAUCCCCUCAGGAUGACUAAAAGAGCAUUUGCCACGAUGCCUUGAAUGGUUUCUGGCCUAUUGGUUGGCGUGAGCGAAUUGCAUAGGAUAUAGAACAUCACUUUGUUCACAUACGCCAGAUUCUUUGGAUUUGCUUCAAUACACUCAUCACCAACAAGCUUGGGGUCCAUCAGCAUAUGAAGUUGAGCUUCGGUUACUUCCCAAUAGUGCAGUAUAUGUUCACAAGCAACAUCAAAUUUGCACUGAGGAAGAUUCAACAGUGCUAAGAACUAGUCAGCCGAACAUUUGAUCCUUUCCUCUCCUCUUAUCCAUUCGAGGAUCCAAGUACUACUGUCUGCAAGGUCUCCUGAGAUAUAAAGAGUGGCAUUGAACUGAAGGAUUACUUCACGAUUCCAGCCAUGAUUGAAACGAAGGAAACUCUUCGGGAAGACUUGUUCAAACUUCUCGAUGGUAUGAUGAAAGCAAGGUAUACUUUCGAGCUCAGCGGAAUCUCGAAUCUUGUGCUUGAAAAUUCGAUUCUUCUCAUACAGAAUAUGAGCAUAAUACACAGCAUGUUCUUUUGUCCAGAAUCUUGGAGACAAAGAAGAUCUUUCUCCUUCAUAUGGGCUGGUCCCAAAGAAUGCAAGUUUUGAAUGGUGAACUAGUUCAUUGAAAGCAGGACCAUUUGGGCCAUCUUCGAUAGGAAACAAGCAAAAUGUUUCCAGUGGGUUUCUCAGUUGUUCUUCUUCACUCAUAUCCCUGGUCCAAAUGUCAUCAGGUGCAGGCACACCUUCAUCUAUAGGCUUGAGAGGAGCAUGAUGCUUCCUUGAUUUCUUUUGUUCAGAUUGCUUAGAAGAACUUGAUGGUGUGUCAUUUUCGCUUCCUGAAACUCCUUCAGCAGCAUUCUUUCUUUCGGGCACUAGGGCCUUUUCUUUCGCUGUAUUUUCUUCGGCGGGAGGCACAAUAACCUCUUUCUCAGAAGUUUGGGGCACAACUGGUGGGGAAACUUCUUCUAGAGCCAUCGGCUCAUCAGGUUUAUUUUCUUCCUCCUCCAACUGUGGUGCAGUGGAACGAGGAGCAAGAUCAGCAUCCAUCUGGGUAGGGGCACCAGAUGAUGUGACUGAGGUGCUUUUAUCUCGGGAAGCAAUUAGCUCUCCCUCAAUGUUGUCAUUCUCCUCCUUAUUUGAUUCAGAGGGCUCAGCUUGCAUAGUUUUCGAAGGUGAUGGAUUUUCCUUUUCAACCUCAAUUUCUUCAUGAGUUUUAUCAUCUAGGGCUUGCUGCUCAGGCAAUGCAUUUUCUUCAUCAGACUUGUUCAGAAAGAUAUCAACGACAUCAGGUUCUUGGGUUGUUGGGGUAGGAAUGAUAACCUACACUUGCCCAGCUUGCUGCUGGUUCAUCCUCGUGAGUUAGUGAAGGUGGAAUCUGCUGUAAUGGAGUACUGGAAUCAAGUGGAUCAGCAGCCACAAUCUGAAGGCGGCGAUCUUUGAUUCCUUUCGGUUUGCUGGCUCUUGUCUUAGCUUGACGUUUCUCUUCUUGAAUUCUCCUUCGAGGCCAUGCGGUCCAUCUCAUCAUUCCUUCUGUCACACACCUAAGAUAUUUCCAUUUUCAGGCGUGAGUGCCAAUCAAUUUUGUCAUUCCUCAUGAGACAUAGGGCCUUGGUAAGUUCAACAAUCUCUUUGUUCAAAGUUUUUCUUUCGGAUUCGAUGUUGGCCUCUCUCCUCACCUGCUCGAAGAUUUGCUUGUCCUUGACAUCCUGAUUCAGCUUCUUGGUAAUUUUCCUCAGCUCGAUGAAAUGUUUUGUUACCAUUUGGUAACAUCAUCAAGAAGUCUCAAACUGCUGAUAUCAUCAGAUUUUGCAUCGUAAGGAGCACUCUCAAUUACAUCCAUCAUGAGAUUGAAGUCAUAUUUAUGUUCCUCUGUGGAAGCAAGAACACUGGGUUUGGCCUUCUUAGCAGUUGCUUCAGAUUUUCCUUCAGAAUGAGCUUUCUCUUCGUAGAUGGAGCGGCAGAACCCGAAGGUUUGUUAGUGACUGGAGUGGGUGCAUGUCUUGGUGAUUUCCUCAGAGGGGGUGAAACUUUCACCGGUGAGGGAGUCUUGUAUGUCUUGUUGAGAAGGGCACGUUGAUCAUACAUGGGAAUUUCAUCGGGAGCUUCUUCAUCGGAUGACUCAUAAGAUGAGCUAGAAACAACCUUCUUUGAUUUCUUGACAACAGUGUUCUUUCGGGGAGCAUGAGGGGAAACUGACUUUCCGAACUUGCUUCCUCUGGAAGCACGAUCCUUUUUCUUCUGCACGUCUUGCUGAGUCAACGCGACGUUUUUAGCUUCGACUUGACUUUUCUUCACGGCCCUAGCAUCAGGCUUGGCUUUGGCCUUCGCCCUCUUGGCUACUUCAUCGGGAAAAUCCACGAUGGUUUUGAGGGAGUCGGGAUGAGCGUUUGAAGGUGCUGGUGGUCUGACUUUUUCAUCAUCUGGCCCAAUGCAAUUUUCUGCAAUGCAGUCAUUCCACGGAGGUGUGAAUGCAAAUAGGAUCUGAUACUUCUUGCAAAUGCUCUCAUAGUUGAACCAUUUCUACGCCCAGUGGCGGCGAAUCCUUUGCAGCCUAUUGUUACGUUCAGUGGUUGUUUCAACUCCAGGUGGAGGUUUGUAGCCAUCUGGUUCAUACAUUUCUGGUGUGGUAUUCUUCUCUCUGCCACAACCACCCUUCUUAGGAUUUCCAUCGGAGAACAUGGUUAGAGCGUCAGUGACUAGUUCAUCCUCGGACUGACUAUGAGCAGAGGGAACUUCUUCAUCAUCUCCUUCGGAUUCAGACUUAGAUUUCUUCUUUGAUGUCUUGGGAGGAUUUGAUGAUUAUCCUCCUCGUGUCAAUCUCAUUCGGUCUGACCUUGGUGGUGGUUGAGGCAGUUCUCCUUCAGAAUAGAUACAAGGGAAAAUGAGGUAGGGUCAUAAAUAUGCACAGAGGUUUUUUUUUACAAAACGAAAAGAUUUCUGGAGGAAACAUAGGAAUCCAUGGUGUGCUUGGAGAAGAUAUCUUUGAUAGAUUUUAACCUAGCCAUAGAAAGCUCACGACUGGUCAAACUAUCUAAUCUUUCGGACAAGUACUCAUGAACCCUAGAUUUAGGAGAACUAGUAUGAGGAAAAAACUAAACCGUACCAGUCAUAACCUAGUGAUUCCUAAAGAUCUACAGUAGUGGAAUAAAUCAACGAAUAUGCAUCCGUAAGAACUACCCUACGAACAGAGGAAGGAGCAGGAGCAGUUUCGGAUAUAGGCACCAUAACUUGGCAGCAUAGAUUAACUACGGCAAUGCGGAAAAGGAAGAUUACCGCACGGGCGUGAUCAACUGCGACGAGACUUCACUGGAGUUGCACGGGGAGGCACUUCGCCGGAGUUGCUUCGAGCUCGGGCUUGGGAGAUGGUGGAUGAGGGUUUGAGGAACAAAUGAGGAAGAAGACACCAGGAGGGGUAUUUAUAGCUAGCAAGCAGAAGCACCUCUCCGAAAUCUACGGCCCUCAGAUGCGGGACGUUCCACAUUCAACGGAUGCGAUCAUGAUCAUGGGGAUCGUGGGCACGUGGCAACCGUUUUGUGCGAAAAACUAAGAAACUGAGCGGGAGGCCGAAGGUUUUGAAGGAGGGAAGUGCCAAAAACAGAUUAAAGUUCGAAGUCGAUUUCUUUCAUGACCAAGGAUGCCGAAAAGAAAUUUUCUUCAGAUCAAGUUGCAUGUUUAUGACGGACAUCAUAGAUUGGAUGAGAAAGAAUAGAGGCAUAAAAGGGUCCGAAACAAAACACUCAGCCAAAUGAGAGGAAACACAAAAGCACGGUGCUAUGAGUGAGUUGUUCAUCGGACGAAACACAAACACAGAGAAGCGAAUCAAAAGCAAAUAAACACAAGGAACGAGCACCAACAAUAUACGUCUCGGGACUAAGAAUAAGCGAUUAGAAUCCCUGAGAGAGUUCCUGCAAAAGAGGUUAGUUCUUUUUCGCAACCCACACUUGCAUGGGCAGCGGGCAUCUCUUUUGCUUAGUGUAAGUGGGGACAUUCCUUUGGUGUGAUCUGUAGUUCACCUUUGCAUUUCGAGAGUAAUCAUAUGAAUAAGCAUUGAAAUUGUUUCCAGAGACAUGAGCAUAAUGAUUUGAGGAGGUACGCUUGUACUCCUUCUGUCGAAGGUUUGACCCAUAUCCAUUCGAGGAAGUUUUUGUUCCAGUCUGCGAAUGAUAAUAAUUUCUCGAAGAGAAUCACUCUGCAUAUUCAAGUUAGCAGUGAUAGAUAAAUUUUCAAUAAUGCACUUCUUCACCCAGAUUUGCUUCUUGUGUGAGCCAGACCUGCAGUUAGUUCCAACAUACCGAGCGAAAACCUUACCAUUCAGUUGCUUGAAGAAUUUAUAGUUUGAGUCAUCAGAUUCAUCAGUAACAACAGAAAUGGGAGAGUCAUAUCCAGACAUAAUUGCAGGUUCGAGAAUUUUAAUUUUAGCAAGAACCCAACUCGUUCGAGGAUAUUGCUCGGGAGUCCAGUAGGUUCCAUCGAUGUUGAUUUCCUUUCGAAACCCAAACCUUCCUUUCGAGGAUUUUUGUGCAGUAUAGACUUCUUGAGCACAUCACAAAGAGUUUGAUGCCCUUUGAGGCUCUUAAGCAUUCAUGUCUCAAGCAAGCUCUUUAAUAUGCAAUUUUCAUCAGACACAACAACAAAUUCCUCGGGAGAGGGGUUAGAAAAAUCAUUCGUAGUAGUUGCAACAUUCUCGAUGACAGCAGUAGAUGUUUCAGCAUUAGAAUCAGCAUUCCGACGUUCUAGGCAUUUUAAGCAAGGAGGAACCAAAUCAUCAGGAAGCAGUGUAGAUUGCUCAGCGAAGAGAGAAUCUUUUUCUUUCGCAAGCUCGUUAUGAGACUCUUUCAGUGACUCGAGUUCUUGAUUCCUGUUAAGGAGUUCGUGUGAUAAAUUCUCGUAGUCGACUGUAAGGGAAUCAUAUCGGUUGGAAAGAUCAUCAAUAGUUGAAGAAAAAGCAUCAUGCUCUUUGAUCAACUUUUGAUUCUUCUCCAUCUCUUCGACCAGUAAUCCUUUGGUUUUCCUAAGAUAAUUCUCAAGUUUUUAAAGCUCAUCUUGUUGAGAUUCGGCAAUCUUAACCAGUUCAGCAUAGGCAAGGUAUUCAGGAGAAUAUUCAGUCAUAGACUUUCGGUGUUUAGCUGAUACCUGAUCCUUUGAGGUUUUUGCCAUUAAGCAGAAUGCAAUGGGCUCAUCAUCACUUGAGGCAUUGUCAUCAGUGUGUGAUUCGAGUGAUUUCUCAGAUGAUCCAUAGGCAAUGAAGGCAUUGCUUCUUCCUCGCCUUCUAUGAAGCUCUUCAUCUUUUGAUUCUGAUCCGAAUGUCUCAGCUUCUGAUUCCAAGUUCAUAUCAGCACAAGCUUUAUUCAGCUGCGAUAUUUUCUUCAUGUUAGAUUCGAUGGUUGCUCUGGCUUUCACGUCAGUGACUGGUCUUGUCGAAGAAGAUGAGGAAGAUGCUGGGUAACGUAGCAAUAAUUCAAAAUUUUCCUACGUGUCACCAAGAUCAAUCUAGGACAUGCUAGCAACGAGAGAGAGGGAGUGCAUCUUCAUACCCUUGAAGAUCGCUAAGCGGAAGCGUUACAAGAACGCGGUUGAUGGAGUUGUACUCGCGGCGAUUCAAAUCGGGGAAGAUCCGAUCUAGCGCCGAACGGAUGGCGCCUCCGCAUUCAACACACAUACAGCCCGGGGACGUCUCCUCCUUCUUGAUCCAGCAAGGGGGGAGGAGAAGUUGAGGGAGAACUCCAGCAGCACGACGGCGUGGUGGCAAUGGAGCUCGUGGUUCUCUGGCAGAGCUUCGCUAAGCACUACGGAGGAGGAGGAGGAGUUGGAGGAGGAGAGGGCUGCGCCUUGGAUGUGGUGCGGCUGCCCUCCCACCCCCUUCUAUUUAUAGGGGCAAGGGAGAGGGGGGCGGGCCCCCUCCAGAUGGAUCUAGAUGGGGGGCGGCGGCCAAGGGGGGAAGGCUUGCCCCCCAAGCCAAGGGGGGUGCCCCCUUUAGGGUUUCCCCCAAACCCUAGGCGCAUGGGCCCUAGGGGGGUUUGGCGCUCAGCCCACCUAGGGGCUGAUUCCCCUCUAUAUUCAGCCCAUAGGGCCCUCUGGGGCAGGUGGACCCCCGGAACCCUUUCGGUGGUCCCGGUACAAUACCGAUAGACCCUCGAACACUUCCGGCGACCGAAUAAGGACUUCCCAUAUAUAAAUCUUUGUCUCCGGACCAUUCUGGAACUCCUUGUGACGUCCGGAUCUCAUCCGGGACUUCGAACAACCUUUGGUAACCACAUACUAUUUCCCAUAACAACUCUAGUGUCACCGAACCUUAAGUGUGUAGACCCUACGAGUUCGAGAACCAUGCAGACAUGACCGAGACGUUCUCCGGCCAAUAACCAACAGCGGGAUCUGGAUACCCAUGUUGGCUCCCACAUGUUCCACGAUGAUCUCAUCGGAUGAACCACGAUGUCGGGGAUUCAAUCAAUCCCGUAUUCAAUUCCCUUUGUCCAUCGGUAUGUUACUUGCCCGAGAUUCGAUCGUCGGUAUCCCAAUACCUCGUUCAAUCUCGUUACCGGCAAGUCUCUUUACUCGUUCCGUAACGCAUGAUCCCGUGGCUAACUCCUUAGUCACAUUGAGCUCAUUAUGAUGAUGCAUUAUCGAGUGGGCCCAGAGAUACCUCUCCGUCAUACGGAGUGACAAAUCCCAGUCUCGAUUCGUGCCAACCCAACAGACACUUUCGGAGAUACCUGCAGUGCACCUUUAUAGCCACCCAGUUACGUUGUGACGUUUGGUACACCCAAAGCAUUCCUACGGUACCCGGGAGUUGCACAAUCUCAUGGUCUAAGGAAAUGAUACUUGACAUUAGAAAAGCUCUUAGCAAACGAACUACAUGAUCUUGUGCUAUGCUUAGGAUUGGGUCUUGUCCAUCACAUCAUUCUCCUAAUGAUGUGAUCCCGUUAUCAAUGACAUCCAAUGUCCAUGGUCAGGAAACCAUAACCAUCUAUUGAUCAACGAGCUAGUCAACUAGAGGCUUACUAGGGACAUGUUGUGGUCUAUGUAUUCACACAUGUAUUACGGUUUCCAGUUAAUACAAUUAUAGCAUGAACAAUAGACAAUUAUCAUGAACAAGGAAAUACAAUAAUAACCAUUUUAUUAUUGCCUCUAGGGCAUAUUUCCAACAGAAGAUUCAUUUUUCUUCGAGAGCUUAGCGUGACAAUCCAUUCGAGUGUGAAUCCAUUUCCGUGAAGAUACAUCCAUCUGUCGCUAGGUUUUGCAUCCCAGCAUGGACAGUCUUCUAUUAGGUGACCGAAUUGCUUGCACUUGAAACACUUCAUUUCUUUCGGUGGUAACUGUCUUGAAGAUUCAGGCAAGUCAAACUCAUCAUCAUUUGUAAGACACAAAUUCUGUCUUCUGAGAUCACUUAGCCUUUCUGUAAGCAUUUCCAGUUCCCUUGUGAUAGUGUGUUGAUUCUCAACAUCUUCUUCUUGUGAACUGCCAUAGUGUGAAAUAAUUUCCCCUUCACCCUCCGAAGAAGAUUCUUGAUCUCCAUUUUAAAUUUCCAUCUUUUCUUCAUGAAUAGACAAUAGUGUCAUGACCUCGACAUGGUGAGUUCUUCAUAGUCUGGUCUUUGCUUGAUUUCAGCUACUAUUGGAUCACAGGUUGCAUCAAGAGAACUUAGUAGCUUGUUGACCACAUCUCUAUUGGUGAUAUUUCUUACGCCUCGUUGAUGAAGUCUUUCAACAAUAUUGGUCAACCGAUUAGUGAGCUCCAUGGCACUUUCCUUACGCAGACUCCUGAAACCAGCAAACAUGGCACGAAGCAUUUCAGUGUGAGAAUCUGUUCUGGUAAAAAAUUAUUCAUGCACAUUUUUUAUGGCAUCCCAAAGUUGCUUUGCAGUGUCAAGCUUUCGGAACCGAAGGAAAAUGUCUUUCGAGAUACUUCCACAGAUAAUAUCUUUUGCACGUGCAUUCAACCGCAGCAUAGCUUUGUCAUCAAAAUUUGGAGCAUCAGGGUGCUGAAUGCUAUAUCCAUUUUCCACAAUCUACCACAGUUCUAUGUUGAUGGCUUGAAGUCUGAUUCUCAUUCUUUCUUUCCAGUAGAUAUAGUCAUUUCCAUUGAAGAUAGGAAAUCUUUCAGAGUGCCGGGAUCUACCUCCAUACGACAUACUCAAUACUCCAAGGUUGUUAGACCUUUAAUAAAUAGAGACAGUGAGUACCUACCCUGAUACCAAUUGUUAGGACCGAGAGUAUAUCGACCAGAGGGGAGUGAAUGGGAGAUUCAAAAAUUCUUUCGAAUGUUUUGAACAUAUCCCAAACACAGCAGCGGAAAUAAGGUUCGGUAGAAAAUAACUUAACCAAGCACACUAGAGUGGAACAUAUCUUUCGAAGAAGGCAGCAAUAAUCAUUCGAGCAUAGGUUAUCACAGGCUUGACAAUGAUGAUGGGAAUGCAAUAUGCAAACAGGUGUAGGAGCAUGAAUGAAAACAGGGUAUGAACGAAGAAGGAUAACACGUAAAUGGACACGGACAAGGCAAACAGAAUGAAUAUGACUGAAAGGACUACACAGAAAGAUAAGAAUGCAAUAGGGUGAGUAACGAAUGAUAACUAUUGGGAAAGACAGAAAAUGAUAGAUACGAAUGAUAUGCAAUAGACAAUAAUAGAUCAGAUAAAUUAUCGUCACAGAGCACGAAAGAGAACUACUGAAAGUAAUGCAAUAAAGUAGAGUGAACCAGUGGUGCUCGAUGGGGACAGAUGGAUUUGGCAAACCAGUUCGCCCCUCUACCAAAGGACUACGUCUGGUUGGAGGGUUGUGAUUUAACACAGAAGAUAAACUCUCUUCACCCUAUUCUCCUUCAACUCGGAGCUGAUCGGACUCCAGUUGAUUUCACUCGUCAUAGACACUUGUCGGCGAUCUCCAAACCUUCAAUCGACCUUCGCGAACGACAAUCACUCUUGGUUGCUGAAGAUCUUGCUCGGUGAAGACAACAACUCUUCAACGCUCGAGCCGACAUCUAUCCGUCUAGAGAGUGCACAGCUCUCAAGAGUAAUAGGUACAAGAACUAUAACUCAGAACUACUGUGAUGCUCAACCACUGUCUAAGUUUGGGCUCUUGAUUUUUCUCUCGGUGGAUCUUAAACUCAAAUCACUCGGAGAGGAGAUGCUCAAUCAAUUUUCUCAGAAAUCUUAAGCGGAGCAGCCAAUGGACAACGUUGGAGCGGGGUGGCUAUUUAUAGUCGCAGCCUUCCCUGAUGGGAAAAGACUAAAUUGGACAUGUGCGACAGCCAAUGGCCGAGUGACACGAGUCCAACGGUCGGAAAUUGAGCACAACGGUAACAUUACUUGCGGACCAAGUAAUGCUAACUCCUCUAUUCGAAGGAUAUCUCCUGCAGCACAAAGAACAACGUCUACUGCUGGCAGAUAAUCAUUCGAAACACAAAGAGAUUUCUCUCGCAUCUUGCAUAGGUUUGGGCUAAGCAUCAUAGCGGAUCUAAGCUUCGAGAACCUAUACCCCUCUUAAUGGUACGGAGGUCCUAUGACUCAAAUAAAUGAAAGAAGAACAACGAAAUGACUACGACGUCUUCACUUUGUCUUCGACUUGCAGUCAUUUUUCUUCGAACAGAAACUCCAAACCAAUUGUUUCACGUCAGCAAUAAUCUUCGAGAGUUUAACUCCUUCACAUCAAUCUUCUCGCCUACAUGUCUUCAAUAGAUGUAGCUCGUUCUUCUCUGCAACGCAGAUAUUUUUUUGAUGAAGUUCCUCGAACUUGGCAUCGGAGAGAGCAUUCUCUUCGGUUCUGCAUGGACUAUUUCUCUCUGUGUGCACGAGCAAACAAAUUAGUCCAUACAUGUUUCUGUCAACAAUCUCCAAAACACAAGAGGACAGAUAUUGCACCAACAACAUUUUAUACUUAUUCAACAUUUUUCAAAUACUUGUUCAACAUUUUUAAAUACUUAUUCAACAUUUUCCAAUAUUCGAAUAUAUAUAUUUCAAGUAUUCUAAAGUAUAAACAAAAGGGGAGGGACGUUUUGGAGGCCGAGCUGCCUGAAGGCCGCUAUCUAGUGCGUACAUUGUGGCACUGGGAUCCGCACUCUCAGGCUUUCCAGGUCAUAUACGAGUGCUAUCUAGGAGAAAUACAUCGGUGCCAUUCUCUCGUGUUCCCAAAUUGUACUUUGGCCUCCGGUUGGACGAUGAUUGCAAGAACAUGACGUGCCUCCUGGGCGGGUUUGAAUUUAGAAGCGCUGCUAUGCCUCACCUGUAGUCGCUCAGAUUGUGCGAAGCAGCGGCACGUCCGUCCAGCACAUAGGCGCUGCACGCACAAAGGAGCACAUGCAGGCCUAGUUAUUUUUCCUUUUUUUUCUAUUUGAUUUUUUUGUUUUUUCUUCUAGUUGUAUUUAUUCUUUAAAAGAGGUUCGAAGGUAUUGCAGAAUUGUCCAUCGCACAUUAGAACCAGUCUUGAUUGUGUAUUAAAAAAAAGUUCAAAAACAUGUCCACCACACAUUCAGAAAGAAAAUGUUCGUCUUAUAUAUGAAAAUUGUUCAUCGCGUAUUUAGAAAAUGUUGGCAUGUAAAAAUAUUCACUGAUUUAAAAAUUGACCAUGUGUAUUUAAAAGAUGUUCAUCGUGUAUUGGGAAAAUAUUCAUCGUGUAUGUGAAAAUUUCAUCACAUACUGAAACACAAAUGUUCAUCAGGUAUGUGGAAAAUGUUUAUGACAUAUAUAAAAAAAGUGUUCAUCGUGUAUUUCAAAUAUGAUCAUCAAAUAUUUAAAAAAAUAUUCACCACAUAUACAAAAGUAUUUUAGAGAAAAAUGAUCAUCGUUUGGUUAGUGACAUCGCCCGUAUAUCUAAUCCCCAAGGGGAACAGGGGAAGUAUCCGGUGCACCUGUUCUCAAGAACUCUCAUUUCUGAGGUUGAAUAUUCUUGAAGUUUUGUGGAGAUGGAAGUUUAAAGUUGCAUUCCAAAAGUUUAAAAUUUAUGUUGAAACAAAUAUACAACCACAAGCACGUAUUUUGGUGAUGAGAGCUAGGCCAUGGAUUCAGACCAUUUCGUUCUCCAAGCAAAUGUUUUCUCAUUAUUAUUUGUACAGCUAUGUUUCAAAUUUGGAUAGAAAAUUAGAAGUGUUAUUGUUCGUACUACAACAUAAUUAUUUGCAGAACUUUUCGUAAAUUGUAAACUUACAAUUUUAACUCAGGUGGUACAAAAUAACAAGGUGCAACACUUAUUUGUUCCAUCUAGCAGUGCAUAGACAGAAUGGGUGAGGCGAUGUAACGUGUGUGAACAGAUGGCACUAUGGCUCGUCUAUAGGGUGACUGACGAGCCAGAUAACGAGCUUCAUGGUGCUCGGCCUCCAAACGGCAUUUCCCAAACAAAAGUAGACAAAAAGAGUAAAAAAGGAAAACAGAGGACAGAAAGAAAAAAAAAACAGAAAAAGGAGGCUGGAGCUUCCCGCACGGAUGAGCAGCAGCCCAUGUUCGCUCCUGUCUCACUGAACGCAAGGAAUAGGGGCGCCCAGCACGGCGGGCUUCACUCCAAGGUAGAAGCACAAUAAAAUCCCUGUGUGCACACGAGAUGUCCCAGACUCGUGGGCGUGGUAUCCUGAUAAGAAGGGCAUUUUCUCGGUCAGCUCAGUGUAUAAAAUGAUGAUUAGCACAAAGAUAGAAAGAGAAGGCUGGUUGGAAGGGCGUGGCGGUCCCUCAGAGACAUCAACAGAGGAGAAGGCCUGGAGUUCGCUGUGGCAACUGCAAGUCCCUUCAAAAAUUUGUGUGUUAAUUUGGAGACUUGCAAGGCAUUCUUUACCAACUACAGAUGUUCUUCAUAAAAGAAAUAUGGUUGUCCAAGAUGCCUGUCCUUUAUGCGGAGGAGAAGACUCAUGGCGUCAUGCACUAGUGUCUUGCACAAUGGCUAGAUGUACAUGGGCACUAUCAGAGGAAGUUAUUGUCGUAUGAGCGAGAAUGUCGUGCCAAGUGCUAAGCAUUGGCUGUUUGAUCUCUAUGAAACCUUGAACUAUGCUAGUUUCACGAGAAUGGCAGUAACCCUUUGGGCCAUUUGGUACGAGAGGCGGAAGGAGAUCCAUGAAAACAUGUUCCACAGCCCGUGAACUCUUAUCUUCAGGAGCUACAAACAGUUCCGAAACUGUUGGAACAGCCGCGCAUAAUCGUUGCAUAAUGCUGACGGGGCUGUUUCGAGUAAUGCCAGUAUGGGUGUGGCUGCUGCGAUAUGCCGAGACCACACUGGAGAAUAUCUAGGCGCGUCGGCUGUCGUCUUUCGUGGCAUCUCUGAUCCAACAAUUCUUGAGGUAUUAGCAUGUCGAGAAGCAAUGGCAUUGGCAGAAGACCUGAACAUUCAGAGAGUGCGCAUUGCAAAUGAUUGUCAAGGAGUGGUAAAGGACAUCAACACAGGAAGCAGAGGGCCACAUGCAGCGAUUCUACACGAAAUAACAGAACAGAGGAGUCUUUUCCUUUCCUGUAAUUUUGUUUUCAAACGUAGGAAUUUUAAUUUCAAGGCUUGCUAGCGUCAUGUCUGGUUGGGCAUGCCUCACGACCUGAACAUUGUACCCAAGGCGAGAAUUCUCAAAAAAAAAAAAGGUAGAAGCACAAUAAGAUGGUACUGAUUAUGUGGACAAGACUGGUAAGUCCGUCCAAACAGUUGUCCAUGUACCAGUAGAAGAUUCCGCAGCUACUGCAGCCCCUGCUUCUUCAGGCGGAACCUCACCCUGAAAACUUCUGCCAAGAUAUCAGUAUCCUUUGGGGUGUAGUAAGUCAAUUUCUAAUCUUUAACUUUGAGGCCAACGUCUAGAAGGCCCGUUAACAGAUUGGUUUAUAGGAACAAUGCAAAGUUGCCCAGAUGAAGCCACACCAAAAAUAAUCGCAGGCAGAGUGACCUUGGUAAUAUCUUUUCCAUCAGUAUCAAUAUUGGUUGCAAAAUAAAUAAAUGGGAUAACAAUCUUUAACCCUACAACAAUCAAAUCGGAAGUAGCACAUAAUAAUGAUACACAAUCUAGUCGCCUAAACCGCCACCCACACCUUGUAAGGCCUGCGCCCCCUUCAAAAACGGAUCCAUUACACAUAUAAGAGAAGAACAGGUACGGUAGCUUUGUUAAAUAAGACCGUCUUUCCCGCAAAGCCCCUACGGACACAACUAUCUUGGCAGAGAGAGAUGCUCUAG
rnacentral:lncRNA from 1 species